rnacentral:rRNA from 1 species
ACUCCUACGGGAGGCAGCAGUGGGGAAUAUUGCACAAUGGGCGCAAGCCUGAUGCAGCAACGCCGCGUGAGUGAUGAAGGCCUCGGUCGUAAAGCUCUGUCCUCAAGGAAGAAUAAAUGACGGUACUUGAGGAGGAAGCCCGGCUAACUACGUGCCAGCAGCCGCGGUAAUACGUAGGGGGCGAAGCGUUAUCCGGAAUCACUGGGCGUAAAGGGGUGCGUAGGCGGUUUUCAAGUCAGAAGUGAAAGGCUAUGGCUCAACCAUAGUAAGCUUUUGAAACUGUUAAACUUGAGUGCAGGAGAGGAAAGUGGAAUUCCUAGUGUAGAGGUGAAAUUCGUAGAUAUUAGGAGGAACACCAGUGGCGAAGGCGACUUUCUGGACUGUAACUGACGCUGAGGCACGAAAGCGUGGGGAGCGAACAGGAUUAGAUACCCUGGUAGCACAGAG